AACGAACGCUGGCGGCAGGCUUAACACAUGCAAGUCGAACGCCCCGCAAGGGGAGUGGCAGACGGGUGAGUAACGCGUGGGAAUCUACCCAGUUCUACGGAACAACUGAGGGAAACUUCAGCUAAUACCGUAUACGCCCUACGGGGGAAAGAUUUAUCGGAAUUGGAUGAGCCCGCGUAAGAUUAGCUAGUUGGUGAGGUAAUGGCUCACCAAGGCGACGAUCUUUAGCUGGUCUGAGAGGAUGAUCAGCCACACUGGGACGGAGACACGGCCCAGACUCCUACGGGAGGCAGCAGUGGGGAAUAUUGGACAAUGGGCGCAAGCCUGAUCCAGCCAUGCCGCGUGAGUGAUGAAGGCCUUAGGGUUGUAAAGCUCUUUCAGUGGGGACGAUAAUGACGGUACCCACAGAAGAAGCCCCGGCUAACUUCGUGCCAGCAGCCGCCGUAACAC
rnacentral:rRNA from 1 species